GUACUUUGCUCGUUUACGUUUUGUGCCGUGUUCCUUCUUCUUCAAUAAUGGAAUGAUUUAUCCUUGUAAAUUUCUAAGUUACAGGUGCACGCGCAUGUUAAUCGACGGUUGCCAACAUCCCGCAAAACGAUCGACGGAAGGAAAACGGUGUCCGGUUUUAAAAUAUAAAGAUUUCAUCACAGCUCUUUCGUAGAAGAGCGCACUUCAAGGACGCCUGGGAUACGGCUAAACAUGCGCAGCACCAGUCCGUGACGUCAUUUCCAGACAGGCGCCGGCUGAACACGUGCAGCACCAGUCGAGGAUGUCCUAGCGAGAAGGGCAGAAGGAGGAACGAGAGGAAGGGUAACGGAACCGCUACACUUGUAGGGGGUGAAGCAUCCAGCCGUGUACAGAGUGUGAGUGUGCCAAAACACAUGUGGAAAGAGGAGGUCCAAUAAAUAGCAUGCGAAAGUGUGCAUAAAGCAAAAAGAAAAAGCGUCACUACUACAACCAGCAAUCCGAAAAUAUAAGGG